rnacentral:rRNA from 1 species
UACGUAGGGUGCAGGCGUUAAUCGGAAUUACUGGGCGUAAAGCGUGCGCAGGCGGUUUGCUAAGACAGGUGUGAAAUCCCCGGGCUUAACCUGGGAACUGCGCUUGUUACUGGCAAGCUGGAGUGUGGCAGAGGGGGGUGGAAUUCCACGUGUAGCAGUGAAAUGCGUAGAGAUGUGGAGGAACACCGAUGGCGAAGGCAGCCCCCUGGGCCAAUACUGACGCUCAGGCACGAAAGCGUGGGGAGCAAACAGG